UUAUGCCUAAAUCAAAGCUUUCUUUUCCUAUUAAAGAGCCAAAACCCUACAAAACUAAGCAAUCAAAAGAAAGAAGAAGAAAGGUGCCGUCACCAAUCUUCAAAUUUCUUGACUCCAUAACUAGGCCUUUUAGCCUCAACUUCAACUAAUCUCUUUUAUGAUUCAGAAUUGAAGACGCCUAUGAAUAUUUGUACCCAAAAACUUGUUCCAACUUUUGUGACCCUCAUGGGUUAGGAAACGUGGAUAGAUUUUUUGUUUAGCCAUGGGCAUGGAGUUGCUGAUCAGGAAGAGCUCAAGGUCAACAAUCAAAUGACGCAAAUCUAACUCUUUUGGAUGAGUGAUGAAAGCAUCAAAAUCGACGGGGACAUGAAUAAUCGUUCUUUUUUCUUGUAAAUAUAUCGAUAUGUUUGAAUAGAAUAAUGUUUCACUAUUUUAAAUAAUAUUGUUG